rnacentral:pre_miRNA from 12 species
GGAGAGCUCCCCUGUGACCCGUGGGCUUCCCUUUGUCAUCCUAUGCCUGGAACUUCAAUAAGGCAGGGACAGCAAAGGGAUGCUCAGCUGUCACCACUGAC